GCACAGCUGAGGAGUCCCAUAAUAGGACGAAACGGCCGUUCUUUGC
rnacentral:hammerhead_ribozyme from 1 species